UUUAAAUGGCCGCAGUAUACUAACUGUGCAAAGGUAGCAUAAUCAUUAGUCUUUUAAUUGAAGGCUGGUAUGAAUGGUUGGACGAGAUAUUAACUGUUUCAUAAAAAUUUAUAUUAGAAUUUUAUUUUUUAGUCAAAAAGCUAAAAUAAAAUUAAAAGACGAGAAGACCCUAUAAAUCUUUAUAUUUAAAUUAUUAUUAUUUCAUUGAGUUUUUUUUAUUAUAAUAAUUAAUAAUAUUUUAUUGGGGUGAUAUUAAAAUUUAAUAAACUUUUAAUUAUUAAGAAUCAUUAAUUUAUGAGUAAUUGAUCCAUUAUUAGUGAUUAAAAAAUCAAGUUACUUUAGGGAUAACAGCGUAAUUUUUUUGGAGAGUUCAUAUUGAUAAAAAAGAUUGCGACCUCGAUGUUGGAUUAAGAUAUAUUUUUAGGUGUAGUCGCUUAAACAUUAAGUCUGUUCGACUUUUAAAUUCU
rnacentral:rRNA from 1 species